rnacentral:rRNA from 1 species
UAGGGAAUCUUCGGCAAUGGGGGGAACCCUGACCGAGCAACGCCGCGUGAGUGAAGAAGGUUUUCGGAUCGUAAAGCUCUGUUGUUAAGGAAGAACGAGUGUGAGAAUGGAAAGUUCAUGCUGUGACGGCACUUAACCAGAAAGGGACGGCUAACUACGUGCCAGCAGCCGCGGUAAUACGUAGGUCCCGAGCGUUGUCCGGAUUUAUUGGGCGUAAAGCGAGCGCAGGCGGUUAGAAAAGUCUGAAGUGAAAGGCAGUGGCUCAACCAUUGUAGGCUUUGGAAACUGUUUAACUUGGGUGCAGAAGGGGGGAGUGGAAUUCCAGGUGUGGCGGUGAAAUGCGUAGAUAUAUGGAGGAACACCGGUGGCGAAAGCGGCUCUCUGGUCUGUAACUGACGCUGAGGCUCGAAAGCGUGGGGGGCGAACAGG